rnacentral:rRNA from 1 species
UGGCGAACGGGUGAGUAACACGUGAGUAACCUGCCCUUGACUCUGGGAUAAGCCUGGGAAACUGGGUCUAAUACCGGAUACGACCGCUCACCGCAUGGUGUGGUGGUGGAAAGCUUUUGCGGUUUUGGAAGGACUCGCGGCCUAUCAGCUUGUUGGUGGGGUAAUGGCCUACCAAGGCGACGACGGGUAGCCGGCCUGAGAGGGUGACCGGCCACACUGGGACUGAGACACGGCCCAG